UUUCAUAUUUUUUUUUCAUAUUUUUCGCAUUACGUUGAGUAGCUGUCUGCACAGACGGGCACAUUAUACAUCACAAGCCCAUCUCAAAAGAUUUUUUUUCGACGAGCUUUGAUUGGUCAUUUUUCCAUUUGCUUUUUGGAAAGGUCACACUCGGAGGCUUAACCAUAUCUCUCUGAAGCUUCGGAACUGGCUCUCACCCGAAAUAACGAAACUGUUGGACCAUGGGCGGAGUCAGCUGACAUUUUUACAUUGACAUUCAAAAAGAAGAGAACCGCAUAAAAACUCCUAUGUAGCUGGCUGGUGUCGGGGGGUCUUUUCUUUUCCUUUGUGCAUUUUCAUCCCGGUAUCUGUCCUCUCCCCUGCCAACACGACAAUAAAACUCUCCCCAGCACGACGUUCAUUACAGAAUACAAUGUUUUCACAGUGGAAGUGAAUCCUCCGAUUGGCACGGCACUUAGAGUCGUGAGUCAUACGGAGGCGACUGGGGCGGGAGAGCAAAUGAGAAGUGAUAUGAGCGAAUGCUGUCGCAAGUAGGCUCUCUCAAGUGUGGAAGGUUUUAAACGGAGCGUACGGAGUCACAUUAACCUUAAAAAAGAAAUUCACAAUGAACAAAGCGGAAACAUGCUUUGGAUUUUUGUGGAGAGGGAAAAUGUAAUUACAGAUGGGGAAAUAUUAUUCAUUUAAAUUACAGUCAGGACAAAACAUAUUCGCAGCCGAGGCAGAUUUACAUUUAGAAAUUUCAUUUAAACAAGAAAUGCAUCUUUCUCAAAAAAAAGAAAAACAAUCCAAAAAUACAAUGCAUCAAAUUUAAGCAUCUGCCAUUUGUCGUCACCCCAGUCUGACUUGCUGUCUAAGUCAACUAGUGGGAUGAAUAAUUUUAGACUUAACUGUAAUGAGAGGUCAUAAAAUAUCACAGACAUGUGAGACAAAAGAAUUGAUGCAUUUGUUUUUACUUGUUUACUAAAAUAAGGCCAUUUCUGUUGUGUACUUGAAAGAAUCCACAGCGAAAUCCAAACAUUAAAUAAAAUCCAUUACGUAUGUAUGUAUGUAUGUAUGUAUGUAUGUAUGUAUGUAUGUAUGUAUGUUGGAUGUCAUUUUUGAGAUGCACAAUAUUCUCUUAGUCACUCUAAAGAUAAGACAUUUAAAGAGACUUUUGACAUAAUUAAGAAAAAAAAAUUAAUAUUGAGCAUUUUUAAGUAGUUAUGUUUCUUUGCUGUAUAAAUUUGUUUAAGUUAUCUUGACUGAAGUGAACUGAAAACGUGCUAAACAGUGACUUUUAAAACCUGGAUAUUCAUACAUACUGAACCUUGAAGCUAACAACAUACACCGAAUAUUUUUCAAGAGUACAUUUUUGUCAAAUUCACACUUAAAAAUAUUUCACAACCUUUCAAAAAUAAUGGCAUGCUUUAUUACAAAACAUCGUUUGCAGGUAAGCUAUUUAGCGCCGCUUUUGAAAAGAAACAAAGCUAUUCCUUUACCAUGCCAACCAACUAUUUUAGGCAUUUUAAGAUACUAAAAUAAAAAAACAAAAGCUUAGCUAAGACUGAUUCAUUUUUGUCUCUCUUUAAAAAAAAAGAUCUCCCUUCCUGUUCUCAUUAUAACAGGGAUAUUCAAGGGAGCUAGAGAACAUCGAGUCCUCAGAGUUAGCAACAGGGUGUUAGCGGCAGAAUAUUAGGGGGAAAAAAACACCUGAGUGAAAGGAUGUAAAUGAGUUUGAAGUGAACUGUGAUGACUAGAGGAUUGGGUCAGAGGAUGACCAUAACUGCUGCUGCUGGGUGCAGGAGUGGUAAGUGGCCAUAAAAAAAAAGGUUCCUGGAAUAGGCAAUAGUGAGAGGAAACCGCAUUGUGUGGUCCAGGUUAACAGAGGACCUACUGCAGCUGAAGUUGUGGAAUUAAUUACUUGGGUAACUUUGCACUUUUUUGUAGUUACUAUCUGUAAUAUUACCCAGAACUCUAGCAGAAAUAUCCUAUAUCACCAUUAGCUUGCUAAAAAGCUAGCGGCUCCUUUGUGUUAACCUGAAACUAAAUCUGCUGCAGCAUUUUGAAUAUGUGACGAGCCUCUGUGUACACAGUUCACUGACCUCUCUGCUGAAAGAACCCAGCUCUGUCCAGCUCUGAGUUUUUCCCCCUUUCAGUGUUUUCCCUCCAUUCCAUUUGUAGAUUUUCUUUAGAUCAUGUCAAUCUUUGGAGCCCCUUGAGGAAUUCCCGGCCCUCACCCGGUCCCACAUCGGGUGGGGGAGGUUAUCUGCUUAAUGUUUUUAUUUGUUCAAGAGGAAACUUAAAAUUCCACCAGGGACUUUAUUCCCAGAGGGCCCCUCAAGCCACUGUUACUGAAACAUUCUAAGAAAAGCCAAAUUAAUCACAAAAAACAACAUUUAUCCACACAGAUGCACAAACACGCUAGCUAGACCAUGGGCUGCGUUUUAAUUGCAGAGACAAGAACAUUGACCCGUCCGUUACAAUCAUUGAUCACAUUAUAAUAUACCAUAUGGGACAAUAAAGAGUCACAAAUAAACAUUGGCUCUUUGACAAACAUAAGCAAUGUAAGCUGGGUAUAUAAUAUUAACAAAAGGAGAUAUCCAACAGUUCUCUGUUACGGUUACAUUGCCAACCUGUCUGUAGAGUACAAAGACCUUUGGUCGGUUAGAUUUUUUUGAGGAAAAACCGCUCUGCAAUGCCGUCAUCACAUGAGUUUUAGACAGUAUGAAGUGUCAAGGCACAUAGAAAAAAAAGUAACAGCACGAUUAAAAAAGUACAUAUCCACAGCUGUACACCACUGGAAACAGACACUCUGGAGCCACUCGCCUGAUGCUGAAGGUUGUACCAGUUCUAAAAUGCGAGGCAAUGGCUCAAGUGACAGGUCAGGACGUUUGAGGUGGAGUUGUGUUUAAAAGGUAAAAUCCAUUAACAUCUUUCCUGCAGUU